rnacentral:rRNA from 1 species
AUGCCGUCGUGGCCGAACUGCAAUGAGACGUCGGACGACGAUGACGAGUACAUGAGCGAGUUCAGCAACAUGCAGAUGGAGUAUUUUGUAACUCCUGACACUAUGAUAGACCCUAGUUUCUGUGAUCUUGUGACUGGAUUUGAUAGAAGGUGCAUCCUGCACAGGCAGAGGCCAGGCAAGUUUGUGGCAUUUGAAUGCACUGACACUGGCAGGAGAUUCAUAGGAUGUGCUACUGAGGAUGGUAUGAACUAUGGUGUUCUGGAGUGGGUAGAUGCCCCCUGGCCUGUAAUUCUACAAAGGUGCUUAAGCAAGCUCUGGGAUAUGUAUCAUGAGCAGAACCUUGGUAGAGCACGGGAUAAUGAGGCUCAUGGGACAGAGGUUGCAAAACUGCAGAAGGAGUUUGAUUCUCUGGAAAUGAAUGAACUGAAGGAGAAGAAGAAGCAACUUGAGGAGCAGGCAGAAAUUGAGCUUCAAAUGGAGAAGCUUAAGCUCAAGAAAGAACAGAGGUGCAUCCUUCAGAGUCAAGCUGAUAUAAUCAAAAACACAAGGAAGGCCAUGAAGGAGAUAGAGGUGGACAGAGACCUCCUUAAAGAAGAGAAGAAGAAGCUGGAGAAUGUCAUUGCUGAGCUCCUGAAGGUUGGUCAUGGGUGCAAGGAAAAGCUGGACAAGAUCAAGGAAGUUGUGAUGGAGGAGUGA